UACGGAGGGUGCAAGCGUUAUCCGGAUUCACUGGGUUUAAAGGGUGCGUAGGUGGGUUGGUAAGUCAGUGGUGAAAUCUCCGUGCUUAACAUGGAAACUGCCAUUGAUACUACUGGUCUUGAAUUUUCUGGAGGUAAGCGGAAUAUGUCAUGUAGCGGUGAAAUGCUUAGAUAUGACAUAGAACACCGAUUGCGAAGGCAGCUCGCUACACCUGCAUUGACUCUGAGGCGCGACAGCGUGGGGGAGCAAACAGG
rnacentral:rRNA from 1 species